rnacentral:rRNA from 1 species
GUUGUAUGGUUAAGUGACUAAGCGUACACGGUGGAUGCCUGGGCAGUCAGAGGCGAUGAAGGACGUACUAACUUGCGAUAAGCGUAGAUGAGGCAGUAAGAGCCACUUGAGUCUACGAUUUCCGAAUGGGGAAACCCAACUGCAUAAGCAGUUAUCUCAAUGUGAAUUCAUAGCAUUGUGAGGCGAACCGGGGGAACUGAAACAUCUAAGUACCCCGAGGAAGAGAAAUCAACCGAGAUUCCGGCAGUAGCGGCGAGCGAAACCGGAUUAGCCCUUAAGCUAAUCUUGCGUUAGGUGAACAUGCUGGAAAGCAUGGCAAUAAAGGGUGAUAGCCCCGUAACCAACAGCGCUUUAUUAGUGAAAUCGAGUAGGACGGGACACGUGUUAUCCUGUCUGAAUAUGGGGGGACCAUCCUCCAAGGCUAAAUACUCCUGACUGACCGAUAGUGAACCAGUACCGUGAGGGAAAGGCGAAAAGUACCCCUGUGAGG